GCCGGAAUUGGGUUCAUCUCUCUCUCUCUGUCUCUCUCUCUCUCUCUCUCUCUCUUUCAGACAGGGUCUCACUAUGUAGUUGAGACUGACCUGGAACUCCCUAUGUAGCCCAGACUGGUCUCGAACUCACAGUGAUCCUCCUGCCUCAGCCUCCCAAGUGCUGGGAUUACAGGCGUGCCUCACCAUGCCCAGCCUAGGGUCCAUCUCUCUUAAGGAUGACAGUCAUCACCUGUUGAGGUAUCACUUGGAGGGUGAUAUGGGUGGUUCCCACCUGGGGUAAAUCAAGCCUCUAUGAGGGAAUUUUCCUUCUUGUCCUCCCCAGCUCUCAAUGUGGGGUGGGGGCCAAGCAGAGGGUCCAGUCCGGCUUCCGAUUGUCCCACCCUGGGGCCUGCUGGGCCUCUGCAAUGAAAUCUAGGUUCCCGCCCGGCUCCCCUAGGGCUCCUAAGCUGCAGUGCUUCUCAGGUCACACAGGCCCUGAGCAGGUGAGUGGGAGAGGAGGAGAGAGGAGAGGAGGUGAGGAUGGCGCCUGCUGUCAUGAGGAACCAGGGAGCGCGGGCUGCGGGGACCCCGGAAGAGAGCGGGGAAGGGCCGGAACUGCUGGGUGGAGACCGGAAGUGGAGUGGACGGAGUGCCCUGAGGGCCAGGAGCCCGGCAACAACCAGGUCAGUCCGCCCCGCAGGGCUGAGAGGCCCGACGCCCGGACGCUGACACAGGACUGCCACGUAACGGCUGCUCAUUCUGCCCACUGUUUGCAGGCUCUGCCGACGCAGAAUCAUUAACAGCACGGCCUGCGCGACAACAGACCCAGGAAGGACCCAAGGACCCCAGAGGGGGAUUUUUUCAGCUGCCUGCCUACCUGCCUGUCUGCGAUCACCCGGCGGCGUGCGCGUGAGCUCCCGGCCUGCGCGGGAGCUCCCGGCCUGCGCGACAACAGACCCAGGAAGGACCC
ensembl:lincRNA